UACGGAGGGUGCGAGCGUUGUCCGGAAUCAUUGGGCGUAAAGGGCGCGUAGGUGGCCUGGUCAGUUCGUGGUGAAAGCGCGGGGCUCAACUCCGCGUCGGCCAUGAAUACUGCUGGGCUGGAGCACUGUAGAGGCAGGCGGAAUUCCGGGUGUAGCGGUGGAAUGCGUAGAGAUCCGGAAGAACACCGGUGGCGAAGGCGGCCUGCUGGGCAGUGGCUGACACUGAGGCGCGACAGCGUGGGGGAGCAAACAGG
rnacentral:rRNA from 1 species